AAUGCUUGAUUUCUGCCUGGCUACGGCUGGAUACCUGCCAGAGGUAUCCAGAGGCCAGAGGUCUAUGGUGGCAUCUGCUAUGACAGCAGUGCCCCCUGAUUAAGGCUGCCCAGCCUGAGUUCAGACCAGAUGCUAAAGCUGACCCCUGUCAGGAGCUCAGAGACAGAGCCACUCCACAGUGGCACAGUUGUGGGCACUGCUGAUGGGGGAGAAGAAAGCACCCAAAGACUUCCCCACAUGCCUCUUGGGCACAGAGACCAUGUCACAACCAGUUUCCCUGCCUCUCUCACAUCUGAGGGCAAGGGAGAACCCCUGGCCAGGGCACAUGCAUUUCUAGACUGUGUGGAGGGUCCUCCCCUCCACCCUGCAGGGAGAUGUAGGGCCUGGGAACUCCAGCUAGUCCUGGGCCCCCUCCUCCCUAGUCUGCAUCCCACAGCCCAGGGCUGCCUGAAGGCAGGGACCAGGACCCAACACUCAGCCCAGACCCCAGUGACAGUACCUUUGUAUAAUGGAUGCCCAGAGACGGCUCUCCCUAGGGUCUGCUCCCACAAGACCACCCGUCAUCAGGCAGCUGUCGGGUUUGUCAAAGGCGGUGAUUCUGAACAUUCCCCCAGCCUUUAAAAGGAGGGUCACGCAGCGUAAGAAGUAAACUUCGAUAACUGCCAACAUGGGCACAGAGCUUGGGAGCCUGCCCAGGGCUUCCACAGGCACCGCCGUUAUGAUUCAUGCUUCAGCGGCACUGGGAAGCGGGCAGGGGAGGGAACUGAGGCCGGUUGAGGAGGUGGCUCUGCAGGGGAGCACCGACCCCAAGCCUGACAGGGCCAGUAUGCGCUAGGCGGUGCCGCGUCCGCUGCCAGGCGCAAGAGGCUCACUCUCUAAUCAGGCCGUGGACCCCGAGCUAGCCAAGCUGCGCACUGGUGUGCACGCCGGCGCGCGCCAGAGCUUGUGCCGGGGGAGGUGAAGGAGCCGCCCGUCUUAGAAAGAGUAGGCUUCUAGAACUCACCGCCCAGGCCAGCCGGUGAUCAGCCCAGUCCCGCAGGCUGCAGUUGGCCCUGGAGGGGGCGCCCUAGUCGAG
rnacentral:lncRNA from 1 species